rnacentral:rRNA from 1 species
CCUACGGGAGGCAGCAGUGGGGAAUAUUGCACAAUGGGCGAAAGCCUGAUGCAGCGACGCCGCGUGAAGGAUGAAGGUCUUCGGAUUGUAAACUUCUAUCAGCAGGGAAGAAAAAAUGACGGUACCUGACUAAGAAGCUCCGGCUAACUACGUGCCAGCAGCCGCGGUAAU